rnacentral:rRNA from 1 species
CCUACGGGUGGCUGCAGUAAGGAAUAUUGGUCAAUGGACGCAAGUCUGAACCAGCCAUGCCGCGUGGAGGAUGAAGGUCCUCUGGAUUGUAAACUUCUUUUAUUUGGGAAGAAACUCCCGAUUUCCAUCGGGAUUGACGGUACCAGAUGACUAAGCACCGGCUAACUCCGUGCCAGCAGCCGCGGUACUACGGCGGGUGCAGGCGUUAUCCGGGUUCACUGGUGUUAAGGGGUGCAUAGAAGUCAGUGUUGAAAUCGCCGGGCUUAACCCGGAAACUGCCAUUGAUACUAUUUGUCUUGAAUACUCUGGAGGUGAGCGGAAUAUGUCAUGUAGCGGUGAAAUGCUUAGAUAUGACAUAGAACACCCAUUGCGAAGGCAGCUCACUACGGAAAUAUUGACGCUGAGGCACGAAAGCGUGGGGAUCAAACAGGAUUAGAUACCCGAGUAGUC